rnacentral:rRNA from 1 species
CUGGUUGAUCCUGCCAGACCCGACUGCUAUCAGAGUGGGACUAAGCCAUGCGAGUCAACAUAGCAAUAUGUGGCAUACGGCUCAGUAACACGUAGUCAACAUGCCCAGGGGACGUGGAUAACCUCGGGAAACUGAGGAUAAACCACGAUAAGUCACUACUUCUGGAAUGGGUAAUGACUCAAAUCUAUAUGGCCCCUGGAUUGGACUGCGGCCGAUCAGGCUGUUGGUGAGGUAAUGGCCCACCAAACCUGUAACCGGUACGGGCUCUGAGAGGAGGAGCCCGGAGAUGGGCACUGAGACAAGGGCCCAGGCCCUAUGGGGCGCAGCAGGCGCGAAACCUCUGCAAUAGGCGAAAGCCUGACAGGGUUACUCUGAGUGAUUUCCGUUAAGGAGAUCUUUUGGCACCUCUAAAAAUGGUGCAGAAUAAGGGGUGGGCAAGUCUGGUGUCAGCCGCCGCGGUAAUACCAGCACCCCGAGUGGUCGGGACGUUUAUUGGGCCUAAAGCAUCCGUAGCCGGUUCUACAAGUCUCCCGUUAAAUCCACCUGCUUAACAGAUGGGCUGCGGAAGAUACUAUAGAGCUAGGAGGCGGGAGAGGCAAGCGGUACUCGAUGGGUAGGGGUAAAAUCCGUUGAUCCAUUGAAGACCACCAGUGGCGAAGGCGGCUUGCCAGAACGCGCUCGACGGUGAGGGAUGAAAGCU